AUCAGUAUGGACUGGGACUGCCACAACAUGCACUGCUCACAGACAGACUGACCAACAGACAGACAGAUGGACAGACAGACAGAGGACAACACCUAUACUCUGUAGGCUACUGCAGAGAGAGAGAGAGGAAAAGAGAGUGAGAUUGCCACAACAGGUUUCCAUAGACUGCUGUAGAGAGAGAGAGUGAGAGGGAGACGGAGAGAUGAGAAAAUAGAGAGAAUUGAAGAUCAGAUAAUGAAAGAACAGUGACCAGUGAAUGGAGAGAAGAGAGAGAAGAUAAAUAAUAACAAAAAAUAUGCAAAACAAGACUAAGACAAAAACCGACAUUGUGAAGAGAGAGAGAAAGAGGGAGAGAGAGAGGAGCCAGAGCACGUUGUUCGGAGUGUUCUGAGCAGACACUGUCUGGACCAUGUGCACAGAGGAAAGAAAGGUGACAUGGAAAAGAGCUGCCACUGAGAGAGAGAGAGGAAGAGAGAGAGAGGAAGAGAGAGAGAGAGUGUGUGAAUGGUGAAGCUGGACUGAAAGAGAUGCCAGGAGCCCUAGGUCUGGGAAUCACACACAUCAAACACAGUAUGAAGCUGCCUGGACCGGAUGAUGGCACUGCUAUACAGACUGGCUGCACCUUGCAGAAAAACUCCCUCUUUGUAGAUGAGUGGCCCAGUCAGGAUUACUUACUGCAACGGUCUUAACACGCAGUGCUCCAUCUCAGAGGCUAAAAACAGACACGGAGACACCCUUAACAAGGCCUUAUUAUAUUACUAGUGAUCCUCUGCUGAAUGUGUUUAAAUAAGUCACGAGCUCCCAGGUAUUCAGUGCUAACCCAGUGACAAGAGACGGCCGUCUUUGCUUGGACUGUGCCAAGCAAGGUUGGUCAUUUUGGGUUGGUGUCUGUCAGCUGCUCAGUAGUCAGUGUAGAUCCUGUGGGGCAGUCAGCAGCUACAUCUGGCUACUGGGUCGUUGAUGGCUGCCAUGUUCUUCAUGUCUCAAAUAUUGUGGAUGUAUCAAUUACAUGUACUGUGAUUUAGUAUAGCUUGUAUUCUAAAUUUACAUACAGCCAUCUUUAGUUCAGUUUGCUGGUAGGUUGUUGACCUGGCAUACAGUGUAGAAUUCUGUGUGGGUGAUUCUACAGCUACAUUGUCUGCUGGGUUUUAGGCCCUACUCAAAUAAUCACUCACUUGUCACUUAAUCUCACGGUAAGUAUUUUCUCCCAAUUCAGAGACCGUGUGACAAUGAUUGUGUAUCAUCAAAUAAAUACAAGUUCUAGAAGCAGAGUUGUGAUUCCUGAUGUGUUAAGGUCCGCUGGAUUUGGAUUGGGCCCUGUUUUGUCUAGAAAGAACAUUUUACUGGGUUCCUUUGUUCACCGUGGCCUUGAAAUGUACAUCGUCUUAGAAGUUGAAACACUCCAAUGCAAAACAAUUCAUUAUUUCUGCAGACACACUGGUGAAAGCAAUUACAUCCAUGGAUUAUUUGACAAUUGUGUUUAAUGACUCAUCAUAAAACAUUCUUCAAAACAAUAAGACAAUUUUAAAUGUCAGUUUCUGUACAACGCUUGCUUAGCAGUUUUAUUUAUAUAUAGAAAAUGUACGAGGAGUUGUGUUAAAAUGACAAAACUCCUUCAAAUUUAAUGGCAGGUACUCUGGAAAAAAAUAACAGCAUUCCAUCAACAAAUAUUUUCAAGCAAUAAAUAUGUAUUUAUAAAUAGUGUAAAUUUACAUCAAGAUUAGAAACAUAACAAAAAUCACAAAUCAAACUUUAUUCCUUAAAGGAGAAGUUAGCUCUUUUUAAACAACCAAAUCUGUAUUUUGAUGUAAAUGGCAUGUUAUAGUAGUCCACAUUUUUAUGCAAUUUCACUUGUUUGAGAAACUUAACACAACCAGCGAAUCAUUUCCUCAUCCUCGCUGUGCAGUAUGGGGGCCCUGAAAAAACGUGAUGCAGGUCUUUGAAAUUGUGUCACUCCGCAAUGCUAUAUUCCAUUUUGUGCGUCUCAAGACGUUUCCCAUAUCCAGCUGUUUCAUUCUCCGUGUAGACUGCUGCUACAGGUAACUGCCAAAAUAAAGGAAACUCCAACAUAAAGUGUCUUAAUAGGGUGUUGGGACAACAAGCCAGAACAGCUUCAAUGCACCUUGGCAUAGAUUCUACAAGCGUCUGGAACUUCCUGUGUGGAAGCAUCUCCGUUCAAUAUACUUUGUACCCCUCAUUUACGCAAGUGUUUUGGCUGUGACCUGUAGAAUGGACGGAGGUAUCGCUUGAGUCGCAACAAAAUGGAAUAUAACGUUGCGGAUAAAGUUCAGAAUGACGACGUCAUCUGUACACAGUGUUUC